UGCUUAUCUUACCUGCCGUUUAGUGGGGGAUAACCGUGGGAAACCAUGGCUAAUACCGCAUAUUCUGGUUCGGCCAGGAAAGGAUUACAUUCGCUAAAUGAUGGGGAUAAGUCGUAUUAGUUUGUUGGUGGGGUAAUGGCCUACCAAGACCAUGAUGCGUAGCCAGGCUGAGAGACUGAUUGGCCACAAGGGAACUGAGACACGGUCCCUACUCCUACGGGAGGCAGCAGUGAGGAAUAUUCCGCAAUGGGCGAAAGCCUGACGGAGCGAUGCCACGUGAAGGAUGAAGGUCUAUGGAUUGUAAACUUCUAUGUAUAUGUAGAAAUACGUAUACUGAAAAAGUCACGACUAACUAUGUGCCAGCAGUCGCGGUAAGACAUAGGUGGCGAACGUUAUCCGGAUUUAUUGGGCGUAAAGGAUGCGUAGAUGGUAGGAUAAGUUAUUGGUCGAAGCCAAGCUCAACUUGACGGAAGCUGAUAAUACUGUUCUGCUUAGAGGGAAGGAGAGGUUAGUGGAAUUCUGUGUGUAGCGGUGAAAUGCGUUGAUCUACAGAGGAACACCAAAAAAGGCGAAGGCAACUAACUAUUCUUUCCUGACAUUGAGGCAUGAAAGCGUGGGGAGCAAACCGGAUUAGAUACCCGGGUAGUCCACGCCCUAAACGAUGAGCAUUAGACAUUGGGCUUUUGUUCAGUGUCGCAGUUAACACUUUAAAUGCUCCGCCUGGGUAGUACGGCCGCAAGGCUGAAACUCAAAGGAAUUGACGGGGACCCGCACAAGCGCUGGAGCAUGUGGUUUAAUCCGAUACAACGCGUAAAACCUUACCAAGGCUUGACAUGUUUGGCAAAACUAGGGAAAUCUAGUAGAGGUUAUCCAGACACAGGUGUCUGCAUGGCCGUCGUCAGUUCGUGCUGUGAAGUGUACGCUUAAGUGCUAGAACGAACGCAACCCUCAUACUUAGUUGCUACAUUUAAGGUGAGAACUCUAAGUAGACUGCCAAGGCAACUUGGAGGAAGGAGAGGAUCAAGUCUGGUCGUCAUCUGC
rnacentral:rRNA from 1 species